AUCGGAUGGUUGAUCAAUGAUUAAGAAUCAUUUUAGGGUUAAAUGAUCAAUACGAUUGACAUUUAACCUAGUACAAGUGUUGCAGGAGGAUCGAUUAGCAAUUUGAUUGCUAAUUGGCUUAAUUUGAUUAAGCCAAUGAGCUGAGAUUAAGUCUAAUUAAAUAUGAUUUAAUUAGAUUUAGUUUGGACUUGAUUGGAUCAAG
rnacentral:lncRNA from 1 species